rnacentral:rRNA from 1 species
CACUCCUGCGGGAGGCAGCAGUGGGGAAUAUUGGACAAUGGGCGCAAGCCUGAUCCAGCCAUGCCGCGUGAGUGAUGAAGGCCCUAGGGUUGUAAAGCUCUUUCACCGGUGAAGAUAAUGACGGUAACCGGAGAAGAAGCCCCGGCUAACUUCGUGCCAGCAGCCGCGGUAAUACGAAGGGGGCUAGCGUUGUUCGGAUUUACUGGGCGUAAAGCGCACGUAGGCGGACUAUUAAGUCAGGGGUGAAAUCCCGGGGCUCAACCCCGGAACUGCCUUUGAUACUGGUAGUCUUGAGUUCGUGAGAGGUGAGUGGAAUUCCGAGUGUAGAGGUGAAAUUCGUAGAUAUUCGGAGGAACACCAGUGGCGAAGGCGGCUCACUGGCUCGAUACUGACGCUGAGGUGCGAAAGCGUGGGGAGCAAACAGGAUUAGAAACCCCAGUAGUCCCAUG